GACGAACCGUGCGAACGUUAUUCGGAAUUACUGGGCGUAAAGGGCUCGUAGGCGGCCAACUAAGUCGGAUGUGAAAUCCCCAGGCUUAACCUGGGAACUGCAUCCGAUACUGGAUGGCUUGAAUCCGGGAGAGGGAUGCAGAAUUCCAGGUGUAGCGGUGAAAUGCGUAGAUAUCGUAAGGAAGACCAGUGGCGAAGGCGGGUCUCUGGACAGUUCCUGACGCUGAGGCACGAAGGCCAGGGGAGCAAACGGG
rnacentral:rRNA from 1 species